GAGGUUUCUGUUAUAGCUUUUCACAUUUUGUACUAGGCUGGCAAGGGUAACCGAUAUGACUAUAAUGGGGAAUUAAAAUUCAUUUCACUGCACUUUUAACAGAAACCUCACUCUUCAAGCUAAACUAGGCUGUUUAUAAUUACUGACACAUACUCUAAUUUGCUUUCUGUGUGCAGAGCUGUGGUUUUGCAAUUGCUUUUUCAAGGAGAAACAUUGAUAUUUUGGGACUACAAGCAACAUAUGGUAUCAAGAUGUGGUUUAAUUUGCAUUUCUCUCAUGAGUAAUGAUGCCGAAAAUCUUCUCAGUUGUAUGUUGGCCAUUUUGAUGUUCUCUUUUGUGAAGUAUCUGCUCAGGAUUCUUGCCCAAUUUAAAGAUUGUGUUGUCUGUUUUUUCCUUAUUCAUUUACAGAAUUUUUGGAGAAGAGUAUUUUCUAGAUACAAAUGCUUUGCCAGGUGUCUGUGUGUGUGCGUGUGCGUGUGUGCACGUAUGUGUGUGCGUGUAUGUGUGUGUGCGUGUGUAUGCGUGUGUGUGCAUUUGUGUGUGUGUAUGCACAAGUGUCAGCCUCAUGUUUUCUUUUUUCAUUCUCUUAAUAGUGUCGUCCAUUGAAUGGAAUAUCUUAAUUUAAUUAAACCCAAUUUAUCAAUAUUUUCUUGUGCCCUGUGGAAGAAACUGUGGCCUACCCCCAAGGUCUUGAAGGGAACCUUCCCGACCCAGAGAUUGAACCCGUGUGUCCUGUGAUGCAUUGGAAGGACUGAUGCUGAUGCUGAAGUGCCAAUACUUUGGCCACCUGAUGCGAAGAGCUGACUCAUUAGAAAAGACCCUGAUCCUGAGAAAGAUUGAAGGCAGGAGAAGAGGGUGACAGAGGAUGAGAUGGUUGGAUGGCAUCACCGAUGCAAUGGACAUGAACUUGGGCAAACUCCUGGAGAUGUUGCUUUUGAAGAAUUGAUGCUUUUGAACUGUGGUGUUGGAGAAGACUCUUGAGAGUCCCUUGGACUGCAAGGAGAUCCAGCCAGUCCAUUCUGAAGGAGAUCAACCCUGGGAUUUCUUUGGAAGGAAUGAUGCUAAAGGUGAAACUCCAGUACUUUGGCCACCUCAUGCGAAGAGUUAACUCAUUGGAAAAG
ensembl:lncRNA